rnacentral:rRNA from 1 species
GACGAACGCUGGCGGCGUGCUUAACACAUGCAAGUCGAACGGAAAGGCCCUGCUUUUGUGGUGUGCUCGAGUGGCGAACGGGUGAGUAACACGUGAGUAACCUGCCCUUGACUUUGGGAUAACUUCAGGAAACUGGGGCUAAUACCGGAUAGGAGCUCCUGCUGCAUGGUGGGGGUUGGAAAGUUUCGGCGGUUGGGGCUGGACUCGCGGCUUAUCAGCUUGUUGGUGGGGUAGUGGCAUACCAAGGCUUUGACGGGUAGCCGGCCUGAGAGGGUGAACGGCCACAUGGGGACUGCGAUACGGACCAGACUGCUAUGGGAGGCAGCAGUGGGGAAUAUUGCACAAUGGGCGGAAGCCUGAUGAGGAAGCGCCGCGUUCGUGAUGACGGCCUUCGGGUUGUGAACCGCUUUCGCCUGUGACGAAGCGUGAGUGACGGUACUGGGUAAAGAAGCACCGGCUAACUACGUG